rnacentral:rRNA from 1 species
GUCCACGCCCUAACGAUGUCUACUAGUUGUUGGGUCUUAAUUGACUUAGUAACGCAGCUAACGCGUGAAGUAGACCGCCUGGGGAGUACGGUCGCAAGAUUAAACUCAAAGGAAUUGACGGGACCCGCACAAGCGGUGGAUGAUGUGGAUUAAUUCGAUGCAACGCGAAACCUUACCUACCCUUGACAUGUACAGAAUGCCGAAGAGAUUUGGCGGUGCUCGCAAGAGAACUGUAACACAGGUGCUGCAUGGCUGUCGU